GGGAGUCCCCUUUCCUCCCUCACCGCUCCAUGUGCGUCCCUCCCGAAGUUUGCGCGGUUGGUCGAAGAGGACGACCAUCCCCGCUAGAGGAGGACCGGUCUUUGGUCAACGGUAUAGGAGUAACUGUAUUCACAUAUUUUUGCCUGUUUACAAAUUUCACUUAUGCUAACCUGUCCUAAUUACUUUGACCAGUUUUUUUA
rnacentral:sRNA from 1 species